rnacentral:rRNA from 1 species
AUUGAACGCUGGCGGCAGGCCUAACACAUGCAAGUCGAGCGGCUGCAGGGAGCUUGCUCCUGGAUUCAGCGGCGGACGGGUGAGUAAUGUCUAGGAAUCUGCCUGGUAGUGGGGGAUAACGUCCGGCAACGGGCGCUAAUAUCGCACACGCCCUGAGGGAGUAAGAGGGGGAUCCUCUCACCUCUCGCUCUCAGAUGAGCCGAGGUCGGAUUAGCUAGUUGGUGGGGUAAAGGCCUACCAAGGCGACGAUCCGUAACUGGUCUGAGAGGAUGAUCAGUCACACUGGAACUGAGACACGGUCCAGACUCCUACGGGAGGCAGCAGUGGGGAAUAUUGGACAAUGGGCGAAAGCCUGAUCCAGCCAUGCCGCGUGUGUGAAGAAGGUCUUCGGAUUGUAAAGCACUUUAAGUUGGGAGGAAGGGCAGUAAGUUAAUACCUUGCUGUUUUGACGUUACCAACAGAAUAAGCACCGGCUAACUUCGUG